GCCGUCGUGGCGGAAUUGGUAGACGCACGGGACUCAAAAUCCCGCGAUCGCAAGGUCAUGAGAGUUCGAUUCUCUCCGACGGCA
rnacentral:tRNA from 4 species